rnacentral:lncRNA from 1 species
GCACUGACCUGGCCAGCCCUGCCACUUACCAGGUUGGGCUCUUGAGUUUCUGCUUUCAAGUGACCCUCAGAAAUUCCUCCAUUCACUGCAGAGGUUCUGUUUCUCCUUGCUUUGUUCUGACUUUACGGCAGAACUAAGCUAAUGAGUUAGUUACUAUGGGUUAUCACUUGGAUUUGAAGAACCAUCAUUUCUAGGCAUUGCUGCUCAGAGUGACCUUGCCAUCGUAUCCCCUUUUGGAGACACAAGCCAGGAAGGAAGCUCUUCAGUGCAGCUGUGAAUAGAGAAAUGCUGGCUGAGGUUUUGGAGACACUGGGUGAUCAUUCCCAGUGAAAUUUUUAGAUCCCUGGGGACAUGAGCUGCUUUGUCUUUUCCAAGGUCAGGAUAAACAGAAUAACUUCAGGCUUCUCUACCCAGAAAGAACAUGUGGCAUAAAUAUCAACUGCAGAAUAAAUAUGAUUAAUCU